rnacentral:rRNA from 1 species
UACGGAGGAUCCAAGCGUUAUCCGGAUUCAUUGGGUUUAAAGGGUGCGUAGGCGGAACGAUAAGUCAGUGGUGAAAGCCUGCAGCUUAACUGCAGAACUGCCAUUGAUACUGUCGAUCUUGAGUACAUUUGAUGAGGGCGGAAUGUGUCAUGUAGCGGUGAAAUGCUUAGAUAUGACACAGAACACCGAUUGCGAAGGCAGCUCUCAAAACUGUAACUGACGCUGAGGCACGAAAGCGUGGGUAGUCAAACAGGA